UUUAAAUGAAGAUGAUUAUUAAAGUGAGUAUGGAGACAGGGACGAGGUGGAUAUGUACAUAGUUAUCUUAAUCCCCAUACUCAAUUUAAAAAAUUGAAUAUUACCCAUACUUAGCCAGGGUAGGAAUUCUAUGUCCAAACCGAGACGGGUUUGGAUAAUAUCCACAUGAACAAGUUUAUUUAUUAUCCCUACUCAGAUUAAGUUAAUCACUAUCAUCAUGACUCGCACUUAUAACGAUAAUAAUGCAACUGUUAUGAUAUGGUAUUUAUUGUAAUAUCUAAGCCUUCC
rnacentral:lncRNA from 1 species